GGUAUUGUUAGAUUAAUUUUGUGGGACAUUAACUACUGCAGCAGCACUGGCUUUAGUUAAUGAAUCCUGGCGAGUUAAGUGACUUUAUUU
rnacentral:pre_miRNA from 1 species